rnacentral:lncRNA from 1 species
GAGGGCCCAGUCCCUGCCGCGGCCGCGGAAGAGCCGAACCGCCUGUUCCUUGGCCGGCGGCUGACGGUGCCGUUUGCUCUCCGGUCCCCGCAGUGCAGUGCUCCCCCGGGCACUACUACAACACAAGCGUUCAUCGCUGCAUCCGCUGCACCGUGGGCACCUACCAGCCCGACUUCCGCCAAAACUACUGCAUCACCUGUCCUGGCAACACCACCACUGACUUUGAUGGCUCCACCUCUGUGUCCCAGUGCAAAAACCGCCAGUGCGGAGGGGAGCUGGGUGAAUACACAGGCUACAUCGAGUCCCCCAACUACCCUGGAAAUUAUCCCGCCAACGUCGAAUGCACCUGGAACAUCAACCCGCCACCCAAGCGCAAGAUCCUCAUCGUGGUCCCGGAGAUCUUCCUGCCGUCCGAGGACGAGUGCGGGGACGUCUUGGUCAUGCGGAAAAACUCCUCCCCUUCCUCCAUCACCACCUAUGAGACGUGUCAGACGUAUGAGAGGCCCAUCGCCUUCACGGCUCGCUCACGGAAACUGUGGAUCAACUUCAAAACCAGCGAGGCCAACAGUGCCCGGGGCUUCCAGAUCCCCUACGUCACCUACGAUGAGGACUAUGAACAGCUGGUGGAGGACAUCGUCCGGGACGGCAGGCUAUAUGCCUCCGAGAACCACCAGGAAAUACUCAAGGACAAGAAGCUCAUCAAAGCUUUCUUCGAUGUGCUGGCACACCCCCAGAACUACUUCAAGUACACAGAGAAACACAAGGAGAUGCUGCCGCGCUCUUUCAUCAAACUCCUCCGCUCCAAAGUCUCCAGCUUCCUCAGGCCUUACAAAUAGCCCUCUGCACCCCACUGCCUCUUGGGCCACCCUACAGCCAAGGACACUUUCUUCUCCCUUCCUUCUUAUUUCAUUUUUUCUCCUUCCUCCUACUCGGCUUUGGAAACCAACAGGAUUGCCAGGUCUCGCUACGCAGGUGCCUCAACACGAUUUCUCCCCGGCUCUCUCCGGACCUGCCUCAGCAAGGCUGUGUCUCCUCCAGGGCUGGAGAUGCCCUGGCCUCCCCCAGCCUGAGCUUCCAGCGCAGGGACAACCGUUGCUCCGGGGAAACUCGUCCUCUCUUUCAAAGCAGCUUCUUCAUUUUAGAAAACUGAAGUGCAGCCAGUUGCGCCAGGUGCCAGCCUGGCCCUUUCGUUGGCCUUUAUGUUAUCUUUCAUUUCCUUUACGCAUCCACGCCACAUCCGUCUCCGUUCCUAGAUGCCAUAAGCACGUCCACAACCACCCGCACCCAUGGGACAUGGCCGGGGCUCGUUUUUCUUCCUAUAACCGGGGCUGGCAGUCGCUGCAGGCAGGCCGAGCUGUUUCUCAGAGGCGUGCGAGGGAAGUCCUGAAAGCAGAAGGUAACACCGUAUUUAUCAUAGUACGUGGGUCUUGA